CUACGGGGGCAGCAGUGGGGAAUAUUGGACAAUGGGCGAAAGCCUGAUCCAGCCAUGCCGCGUGUGUGAAGAAGGCCUUCGGGUUGUAAAGCACUUUCAGUGGGGAAGAAAGCCUUGGGGCUAAUACCCUCGAGGAAGGACAUCACCCACAGAAGAAGCACCGGCUAACUCCGUGUCAGCAGCCGCGGUAAUACGGAGGGUGCGAGCGUUAAUCGGAAUUACUGGGCGUAAAGCGCGCGUAGGCGGUCUGAUAAGCCGGUUGUGAAAGCCCCGGGCUCAACCUGGGAACGGCAUCCGGAACUGUCAGGCUAGAGUGCAGGAGAGGAAGGUAGAAUUCCCGGUGUAGCGGUGAAAUGCGUAGAGAUCGGGAGGAAUACCAGUGGCGAAGGCGGCCUUCUGGACUGACACUGACGCUGAGGUGCGAAAGCGUGGGUAGCAAACAGGAUUAGAUACCCUAGUAGUC
rnacentral:rRNA from 1 species